rnacentral:rRNA from 1 species
GAUGAACGCUGGCGGCGUGCCUAAUACAUGCAAGUCGAGCGAAUGGAUUAAGAGCUUGCUCUUAUGAAGUUAGCGGCGGACGGGUGAGUAACACGUGGGUAACCUGCCCAUAAGACUGGGAUAACUCCGGGAAACCGGGGCUAAUACCGGAUAACAUUUUGAACCGCAUGGUUCGAAAUUGAAAGGCGGCUUCGGCUGUCACUUAUGGAUGGACCCGCGUCGCAUUAGCUAGUUGGUGAGGUAACGGCUCACCAAGGCAACGAGGCGUAGCCGACCUGAGAGGGUGAGCGGCCACACUGGGACUGAGACACGGCCCAGACUCCGACGGGAGGCAGCAGCAGGGAAUCUUCCGCAAUGGACGAAAGUCUGACGAAGCAACGCCGCGUGAGUGAUGAAGGCGUUCGGGUCGUAAAACUCUGUUGUUAGGGAAGAACAAGUGCUAGUUGAAUAAGCUGGCACCUUGACGGUACCUAACCAGAAAGCCACGGCUAACUACGUGCCAGCCGCCGCAGAAA